rnacentral:rRNA from 1 species
AACGCGAAGAACCUUACCUAGGCUUGACAUGCACGAGCAAGCUCUCAGAAACGAGAGCCCCUCUUCGGAGAUCGUGCACAGGUGCUGCAUGGCUGUCGUCAGCUCGUGUCGUGAGAUGUUGGGUUAAGUCCCGCAACGAGCGCAACCCUUGUCCUGUGUUGGCAUGCCGCAAGGCGCAACUCUCAGGAGACCGCCAGCGAUAAGCUGGAGGAAGGUGGGGAUGACGUCAAGUCAUCAUGGCCUUUAUGUCCAGGGCCACACACGUGCUACAAUGGGCGGUACAAAGCGCUGCCAACCCGCGAGGGGGAGCUAAUCGCCAAAAACCGUCCUCAGUUCGGAUUGCAGGCUGCAACUCGCCUGCAUGAAGCUGGAAUCGCUAGUAAUGCUAUAUCAGAACGAUAGCGUGAAUACGUUCCCGGGCCUUGUACACACCGAGUAUA